rnacentral:lncRNA from 1 species
AUAAAAGGCAGUAAAGACAAAUGAGAAGAGGGCAGGAUAUUGAAGUAUACAGACUUUAAUGCUGAGUUUUGUAUCUUAGUAAGUUACCGCACCUUACAGACACUCAAUUUCCCCUGAUUUAGGAAGGCGAUGCUAAUGGGUAUUGCAUAGGUGUACGUAUAAAAAUGUUGUAUUUAAUAGAAUCCCACAAGCUUGGUAUAAGGCAGAAAAUAAAUAGGUGUGACAUGAAUAAGUAGUUUAUUACAUUUGCUUGCUACUUGCAGACUAGAGGAAGGAAGAAACACAGCCACUAUGAUUGAUUAGCAUUAUAUUCUAAUUUGGAAUAUAAAUAGAAAAGAGAAAAAUAGAAAUCUAUGCAUAAACACAUGCAUUAAAAUGAAUUUUAUGUGGACUCUUUCAGGAAAAUGUUCCUAAGGUAUUUUAUUUUUUUAUUGUGGUAAAAUACACAUAACAUAAAAUGUACUCUGUUAACCAUUUUAAGUGCACAGUUCAGUGGUACUAAAUAUAGUCAUAACAUUGUGCAGCCAUCCCCACCAUCCAUCUCCAUAACUCGUUUCAUCUUGUGAAACUGAAACUCUAUACUCAUUAAGCAAUACUUCCCCAUGUCUUCCUCCCCCCAGCUUCUGGCAACCAUCAUUGUACUAUCUCUGUGACUCUGUCCACUUUAAGUUCCUUAUACAAAUGGAAUUAUACUGUAUUUGUCCUUCACUGACUAACUUAUUUCACUUGGCAUAAUAUUCUCAAGUUUCAUCCAAGUUGCAACAUAUGUCAGAAUAUUUCCCUCAUGUUUAAGACUGAAUAAUAUUCCAUUGUAUGUAUAUAUCAUAUUUUGCUUAUCCAUUCAUCUGUUGUUGGACACUUCAAUUGCUUCUACGUUUUAGCUAUUGCCAAUAAUGCUGCUGCAAAUAUGGAUGUGUAAAUAUUUUUUCAAGACUCUGCUUUCAUUUCUUUUGCUAUCCUGAGAUGUGGAGCUGCUGAAUCAUAUGGCAAUACCAUUUUGAUGUUUUGAGGAACUAACAUACUCUUUUCCACAGCAAACAUAGGGUUUGGCAUUCCCUCCAAUAUUGCAAAAGGAAUCGCCACAUCCUUGCCUGUGGAUUUUAUUCACAAGUCCUGUGGCUCUCUCUACAUCCCGGCCACCAUGUGUUAUUUCCUGUUUAUAUAUAUGACAUCAAAGGUGCAGGAAGUAAUGAACUAAAUUGGAAGGAUAAAC